UCCACACAUCUCCAUCCCGCCUGCCAUCAACUGGUUGGGAUCUCGGAGAAUCACAGAAAACAGAACGAAAAUGGAGUCUCUGAUUUUGGUUCCAUCUAGUAGGCACGUUUCAAUCACUAAUUCUUCUGCGUUUUCCUCCGAUUUUUCGGUUCAAUUCACUUCUAGAAAGCGCGCCAUGAACUUCCGAGCUUCUUCUCCGCAGAUUCUCCCUUGCAAUGUCGUUCUGGAGCGAUUAACUCCGAGGUCUUAUAUUCGUUACGGGCCACCGUAUGGUGAUCAAGAUGACGAUCCUGAAGAGCAGGUUGAAAGCCUCAGGGUUCCUGAUGCUUGGUCGGUCCCUUCCAAGGCAUUGGAGGAAUCAGAAUGGCUUAGGGUUACCCUGCACAAAUGGCUGGACGAAGAGUACUGUCCAGAGGAAACUAAUGUAGAGAUAAGCAAGGUUGCUGCAAAAUCAUACUACAAUUCUUUGUUAGAGAAGAGGACAGAGCUAGCCGAUAUUUUAUUGAACAUGGCAAGAGAAUUGGAAUCUAUUUCAUAUAAGGAAAGUUUUCAUGGUGCAUUCUCUUCUGCCAAUGCAGCAGUGAACUUAAUUGCUCAAAGAAUAGAGCUGUCUUAACUGUUUCAUCCACAUUUUUCAAAAUCCUGCAAGUUUGUCUCCAAGACCUCAACUCUUUCUCUGAAAGGCAUAGCACUUUCGGAAAUGCUUUCAACUGGUGGUGGUGGCGGCUCGAAGGCAAAGCUAGAAUUUGUAGAAGAUCUCUCUUCCCUCUAGCCUAUGGGUUGUAUUCCAUUCUUUCUUCAUUGAAACAAGUUUGUUUCUUAUACAUGUACAAGACAGAAAAUAAAGAGCGCUAGCAUGUCAAACCUACAUGCUACACGUGCAA